rnacentral:rRNA from 1 species
GUAGGUGGCAAGCGUUGUCCGGAAUUAUUGGGCGUAAAGCGCGCGCAGGCGGUUCUUUAAGUCUGAUGUGAAAGCCCACGGCUCAACCGUGGAGGGUCAUUGGAAACUGGAGAACUUGAGUACAGAAGAGGAAAGCGGAACUCCACGUGUAGCGGUGAAAUGCGUAGAGAUGUGGAGGAACACCAGUGGCGAAGGCGGCUUUUCUGGUCUGUAACUGACGCUGAGGCGCGAAAGCGCGGGGAGCAAACAGGGAUUAGAUACCCUGGUAGUCCACGCCGUAAACGAUGAGUGCUAAGUGUUAGGGGGUUUCCGCCCCCUUAGUGCUGCAGCUAACGCAUUAAGCACUCCGCCUGGGGAGUACGGCCGCAAGGCUG